rnacentral:lncRNA from 1 species
CCUGGAAUAUGGAGGGCAAAAAGUUGAAAUGUAUGAAAGGCAAAAAGGCUGCUAAAAUCUAAAUAAAGAGUUUAACAAGUAGCAAAAUCUUUACCCUUUUAACCUUUGUGGCUGCUUGUCCUUAUCCUGUCUUGACCUUUUACAUUCUCAGAUUCCUCCUUUUAACCUAAAAUAUAUAUUUUUAUGUAAAAAUAAAUGAAUGCACACCUUUAGAAGAUGAAGAUAGCGGAGAUGAGAAUAUUCAGAUGAAUGUGUGGACAUAUUAGAAAGAGAAAAUACAUAAAGUCCCCAUUAAACUUAGACCUUAUUUUGAAGUAGACACUUAAAGUUUGUGGGAGUCUCAUUAUCCCAUUGAAUCAUUUUCAACCAAACUAAAUACGCUAUUUUUAGCAAUUUCUACUCCAAUUCUCCACGCGUGUCUCUCACCCCCUAAUAAAAUAAUAUAAUUAUUUAUAUUUUUCUACCCGUUUUUAUAAAGGCCGGGUUCUUAACUUUACCCGCCCACAUUUUAACCUUUCCUCCUAAUAAUUUUUUUCUAUCUUUUCUUCCCCAAAAUUGUGAUAUUGAGCGAUCUGAAGUAAGAUUGAUGCAAUUUCCACUCAUUGGGCUGUUUCAAUUCUUACAUAAAAUUAAUAUUAAUGAGUUCUAAUUAUUUGUAUCGGUUAAUGAGGUUGUUUUGAGAGAAUCUAGUGGAGUAUGAACAAUAAAUAUUUUUGAGGUCAAUCUCUUUCUUUUUUUCUUUUUUUUUGCUUUCUGUGUGUUUAGUCUGAGUUUUUCUUCAAUUUUUGAAUAAUAUUAUCAGAGGACGAAGGAGAAUCUAGCAUCUGCGUGUGGUAUCCUCUUUCUGAAAAUGGGUUUUUAUAAAAAAAAAGUCAGAAAUUCGAGGAUUGUUGUUGGCUUAAUGUAGUACUCAUCUUGUGAAAGUGAAUCGAAGUUUGAGAGAUAUUGCAGUGUUGACUCGUCAUGGCAUUGUAGCAAGCUUCAAUGGCUAUCAAUGGUGUUUGAAUUAAUUUGGGGAAGAUGGGUCUUUUUCUAAAAUAAAGAAUUCAAUUUACAAUGCCACAUGGCCGUUUUAUAUUGGUUUGGGGUUGUUUUUUAAGACACUCAUGCGCCGUGAAAACGUGAAAACAUAGCAGGUGCAGAGGUGGGUCAAAAUGACAUAUUUAGUUUGAUAGAAAGUAGUUUAGUGGGAUAAUAUGACUUCCACAAACUUUAAGUGUCUACUUCAAAAUAAGGUCUAAGUUCAAUGGGGACUUUAUGUAGAAAAAAUGAAAAUUAGGAACAAAGUUUUACAGAAGUGGCCUCGUAGCUGACAAGAUGAAGGAAGCGAAAUUGAGAUAGUUUGAAUAUGUGAAGAGAAGGUGUGUGGAAAGUUGACUAUAACAAGUUUUAUAAGAGAUAGAGGAUGUGAUUAGACAAAACAUGACCUAUCUCCAGCUUAUUGAAGACAUGAUCCUGAAUACGAAAGUAUGUAUGUUGAAGAUUACGUAGUAAAUAAUCGAGUGUUGUCAUACUUUUAAGUAGGAUAAGCAGCAUUUUUUGGCAUUCAUGACACAUCUUAUUUUUCAUUUUUUAUUAAAACAUGUUGCUUCAUUUACUUUGUUUAUCUUGCUAUUUUAUUAUCGCUAUUUUUCUUCUAAUCCUUCUUUGUUUACACAUUUUGAACCUAAGGUUUAUCGAAAACAACCUUCCUGCCCAACAAAAAUAGGAAUAAAGUCUAAGUACAUCCUACCUUACUCAAAUCCCACUUGAGGAACUACACUGAAUAUGUGAUUGUUGUUUACGUCCAAAAAGAAUAACCUAGAUUCAAGGUAUGAUUGUCAAAUUAACUUUUAAAUAUUAUUAAUCCUUCAGCCCUUCGCCUAUCGACUUGGAAGGCAAGCUACCUUGAUCCAUUUUCGACUUCAAUUCGUUACGCUCAGAAGCUCCAACUAACCCUUGUACAAAAUAGCAUGGAGAACACAUAAGUAUUCAUUAACUUGUUCCAAAGUACCAGUUACACCUAACAAACAAGUGUAUUGUUACAAGUACCAGAACACAGAGUACCAUACAUAUAUAUAUAAUUGCAGAGAAGAGGCGCAGCACGACAGAUUGCUCUGACUUAAUUUAUGGCAAGAAAGAGGUGCAGAACGACGAAUUGCACUGACUUGUUGAUGGCAAGUCCGCAAUGAAAUUGUGAUUUUCAAAAUGUGGUUCCUUCGAAAUAUAUCUUACCAGUUAUUGCUUCAGCCUCUGCGCAAUUGUGGC